UACGGGCCUUGAGAGAGGUCGCCCGGAAGAUGGAUUUGAGACACGAGUCCAGGCCCUACGGGGCGCAGCAGGCGCGAAAACUUCGCAAUGCAGGAAACUGUUGACGAGGGAACUCCAAAGUGUCCAUGCAUUGCAUGGACUGUUUGCCAGCCUAAAAAGCUGGUAGAGUAAGGGGUGGGAAAGACCGGUGCCAGCCGCCGCGGUAACACCGGCACCUCAAGUGGUAGCCACUAUUAUUGGGCCUAAAGCGUUCGUAGCCGGCUUGGUUAAUUCCUGGGUAAAUCGUACCGCUCAACGGUGCGGAUUCCGGGGACACUGCCAGGCUUGAGACCGGGGGAGAUCAGAGGUACUUGCGGGGGAGCGGUGAAAUGUUGUAAUCCCGCAGGGACCACCAAUGGCGAAGGCA
rnacentral:rRNA from 1 species